CGAAGAACCUUACCUGGUCUUGACAUAGUAAGAACUUUUCCAGAGAUGGAUUGGUGCCUUCGGGAACUUACAUACAGGUGCUGCAUGGCUGUCGUCAGCUCGUGUCGUGAGAUGUUGGGUUAAGUCCCGCAACGAGCGCAACCCUUUUCCUUAUUUGCCAGCGGGUUAAGCCGGGAACUUUAAGGAUACUGCCAGUGACAAACUGGAGGAAGGCGGGGACGACGUCAAGUCAUCAUGGCCCUUACGACCAGGGCUACACACGUGCUACAAUGGUCGGUACAAAGGGUUGCUACCACGCGAGUGGAUGCUAAUCUCAAAAAGCCGAUCGUAGUCCGGAUUGGAGUCUGCAACUCGACUCCAUGAAGUCGGAAUUUCGCUAGUAAUCGCGGAUCAGAAUGCCGCGGUGAAUACGUUCCCGGGCCUUGUACACACCGCCCGUCACACCAUGGGAGUUUGUUGCACCAGAAGUAGGUAGUCUAACCUUAGGGGGGACGCUUACCACGGUGUGGCAGAUGACUGGGGUGAAGUCGUAACAAGGUAAGCGUAGAUGA
rnacentral:rRNA from 1 species